AUUGCUUUUCGGCCUUUUGGCUAAGAUCAAGUGUAGUAUAUGUUCUUAUUAGUUUAAUAUUUGAUACAUCCUCUAUUCGAGGACAAUAUAUUAAAUAACAAAUGAAUAUUUGGAAUAGGGAGUCAGAAUAGUAACUUUCUCUGUCCACUUCAUGCAAUGACCUGUUACUGCAGUACCUUCAGGAACAAUACAUCAAAA